AUUUAAAUAAUUUAAAAAAAAUAUUGAUUUGUGGAAUCAAAAAUAUGAUAUUUAUCAUUUUAAAUU
rnacentral:tRNA from 2 species